UGAGUAACCUGCCCUUCACUCUGGGAUAACUCCGGGAAACCGGGGCUAAUACUGGAUAUGACUCGAACAGGCAUCUGUUUCGGGUGGAAAGAUUUUAUUGGUGGAGGAUGGACUCGCGGCCUAUCAGCUUGUUGGUGAGGUAAUGGCUCACCAAGGCGACGACGGGUAGCCGGCCUGAGAGGGCGAUCGGCCACACUGGGACUGAGACACGGUCCAGACCUCCUACGAGA
rnacentral:rRNA from 1 species